rnacentral:rRNA from 1 species
AACGAACGCUGGCGGCAUGCCUAACACAUGCAAGUCGAACGACACCUUCGGGUCUAGUGGCGCACGGGUGCGUCACGCGUGGGAACCUGCCCUUAGGUUCGGAAUACCUCCCCGACAGGGGUGCUAAUACCGGAUAAUUUCUUCUGACCAAAGAUUUAUCGCCUUUGGAUGGGCCCGCGUUGGAUUAGCUAGUUGGUAGGGUAAAAGCCUACCACGGCGACGAUCCAUAGCUGGUCUGAGAGGAUGAUCAGCCACACUGAGACGGAGACACGGCCCAGACUCCUACGGGAGGCAGCAGUGGGUAAUAUUGGACAAUGGGCGAAAGCCUGAUCCAGCAAUGCCGCGUGAGUGAUGAAGGCCGUAGGGUUGUAAAGCUCUUUUACCCGGGAUGAUAAUGACAGUACCGGGAGAAUAAGCUCCGGCUAACUCCGUG